GUGAGCAUCAAGGACUCGAAGGUCCGUUCUGUUUUUCUGUUCAAUAUAGAUAAGCUGCCCGACUCUUUCAUGAAUGCAAGUAUUGCCAAUUUCAAGCUCAUGAAAGUACUAGAUCUGGAAGAUGCUCCUAUAGUUUACCUUCCUGAAGGAGUGGGAAACUUACUCAAUUUACACUACUUGAGUUUGAGAAAUACAAAAGUAGAAAUAAUUCCCAAGUCCAUUGGAAAUCUUCUCAGUUUAGAGACUUUGAAUAUGAAAAAUACUUUGGUGAGAGAACUUCCAGUAGAGAUCAGGAAUCUUAAAAGGUUACGUUAUCUAAUGGUGUAUCAGUACAAUUAUACCGCAGGUUUUGCAGUAGCAGGAGAAGCAGCAGCGAAAUUACACGAGGGCUUUGGGUCUCUAACGAAUCUGCAGAAGUUGUGUAUUAUAGAAGCUGACUCUGAAGUAGGGAUGGCAGUGGGGUGGGGUGGGGGUGGGGAGGCCUGCCCCAUUCCCCACCCUAUUAGAAAUUUUUACCUCCAUUCCCCAUCUUAUUUCUCAAUAAAUUUAGUGGGGUGGGGAUGGAGAAUCUCCACGUGGGGAAUGAUUUCCCCAUCCCCACCCCAUUUCCCAUUUAUCUAUUUUAUAAUAUGUAUAAAUAUAUUAUUUUAGUAAGUUAAAAAUUAAAUAAAAUCAUCAUCAUAUUAUAAAGUAUUUAAAUUCUUUUUAAAAAAUAUCUAAAAGUUUGAAACAAUAUCUUAAAAUGAUAUUAAAAGUGAAAAAUAUUUAAAGAGUGUAGCACCUUAAAAGAUAAAAGAAAAUAUAACAAUGUUUCAGAGUUGAAAAAUAUUAUAGGAUUUUCUUUCAUUAAUAUCUUGUUUAUAUUGCAUAAAAAUUAAAAAAAAUUAUUAAUUAACAUUAUAAUUGAUAAAAUAAAAAUUAUUUAAUAAGAAUUAAAAACAUAUUUAUAUAUAAUGGGGAUUGAGGUGGGGGUGGGGUGGGGAGUACAAAACCAAACUCCACCCCAUUAAGAAUUUGGGGAUUAUUUUCCCCCACUCCCCACCCCAUUCCCCAAAAAUUGUGCAAAAUUUUUCCCAUUUGGGGUGGGGCUCCAAACCCGUGGAGGACUUUGCCAUCCCUACUCUGAAGCGCUCAAAGAGCUUAUGAAGCUAAGGCAGUUAAGAAAGUUGAGCAUUAGGCCCCAAAAUGGAAAUGGCAAGGAUCUGUGUGGUUUGAUUGCAAAUUUGAAAAACCUAGAGUCUUUAACGGUCGAAAUGACAAGCAAAGAAGAAAUACUUGACUUGCUGUCUUUGAGUAGUCCUCCUCAAUAUCUGCAGCGUCUCUACUUGACGGGGAAUAUGAAGAAACUGCCGGAUUGGAUUUUUAAACUUAAAAAUCUAAUCAGAUUGGGUUUGGAACUGUCGGGAUUGGCUGAGGAGCCAAUCAGAGUCCUUCAAGCCUCGCCCAAUUUGUUGGAAAUUUUACUCACAGGGACAUACGACUACGAGCUUUUUCACUUUGAAGCAGGUUGGUUUCCAAAACUCCAAAAGUUGCUUCUCUGGGACUUCAUCGCGGUGAAAUCGGUUAUAAUAGAGAAAGGUGCGGUGCCUGAUAUUAGAGAACUGCGGAUUGGGCCUUGCCCAUUGUUGAUGGAGAUUCCUAUUGGAAUUGAACAUCUUAAAAACCUUAAGCUACUCAAAUUUGCUGGUAUGGUUAAACAAGUUUAUUACAUGACAAAAGACGAGAACUGGGGGAAGGUUACUGGGCAUAUACCAGAUGUCCAUGUCAGUUUUGUGGAGGCCGGGAAAUGGUUUUAUUAUCGAAAAGAGGAUCUCUCAUCUCUGUCUCCUGAAUAUGUCGAGCAAAUCUACUGAAGAAGAGGACUCAAGUAGGGAGCAGUCAUGCACAUCUAUGAAAUAAGUAAACAGGUCUGCCACUGCGUAUUUGGAUUACUUUCUAUUUACUUUUAAGAAAAAAUAUUUUCUCAUUUUUAAUUUGACAGACAAUUUAAUUAUAUAUAAUUCAAAUAAAAUUUCACCAAAAAAAUUCCCUUUUCCCUGUAAUUUGAGUAUGUUAAAUAAAUAAAUAAAUGCAGUAUGUCAGUAAAUCUUUUUCUAGUUAAAUAUAUAGUUAGAAUCAUAUAAUGAUUAGGUAUUAAUGUUAGUAUAGUAAUUUCCGUUAUAUUUUUUGUUACCAUGGACAGAUGGAGUAUAUAUAUCUUGCUUCUAGCGAAUUCAUUGAUGAGUUCAUCGAUCAUAUACUGCAUCAGAUUGUGGCGGCAAUGCUACUAUUGAUAUGCUUUGAGUUUGAGUAAUUAUUAUUAGUGUUAUCAUGUAAUACAUGCUUAUGUGAGUGGUUGCUGCUGUGAGUGUGAGUGUAUUCUUCUAUUUAUCUAAGACUCAGAUUAUGAUUUUUGAAAUAUUGUAGUAUUGCAAGGAAUCGUCAUCAUAUAAUAUUUAAUGUUUAAUAAUAAAAACUGUGCCAAUGUGGCUAAUUUGUGUGGACUGAUGCAUUUGCCUUA
rnacentral:lncRNA from 1 species